CUGUCUGGGUACACUAAAAUAGUCGCAGGUACCAUUGGGGUUGCCUCGUUUCGAUUUUUCUUGUUUCGAUUAAAAGUGCCAUUUGGUAUGUCUAUACAUUGUGUGGUUAGUGUUAAAACUAAGCCAGGACUAAAUAAAAAAUCAUUUGUAUUACACUUCUGACAGAGUUAUGUUUUGUAAUGUAUUUAUUAUUAUAUGUUAAGUCUUAAAUAUGCAUAAUUGUGAGUACCACAGUUUUAAGGCCAGAGUCGGAAAAUAUCAAAAGAUUUAUAGCCUUAUUAGUUGUUGAAAACAAUUUAAUUAUCAUUUGUAUUAUGAGUUACUCACAUAUGCAAAAUAAGAUCAAUUUAUUAUAAAAAGCUACACAAAAGACACAAUCGGUCAUUACUUUUCUAGGAAUAGUGUAUUCUCUUGUACGCUAUAUGCCUCCGGACGUACAAACCUUUUUUAGUAUUCAAACACUUUUUGCUAAUUUGUAUUUUAACUAAAGCUAACAUUGUAUACUGAUAAUACUCGCCUUUUGGAUUGUUCCCUAAUUUGUGUUCGUUCCAGCUAUUUUGUGUUCGUUUCAGGUGUCUUGUGCCCGUCUUAUAUUAACAUGUAAAAUAAAUAAAUGUAUUAAUAAAAUACUUAUACCUUAACAUAAUAGACAAAGACUGGCCUCUAAAUGGCUAGAUUCCCCAGCAUAAGCAUUUUAUACAUUUAAAUCGCUUGGUAAUUUUCCAUAUUCUAUUCAAGGAGUCGAUUCCAACUAUACUCCCGAUAUAACUAAUCAGUCCAGAACUUACAUACUUCCAAGUUAAUGUAACUCCACUAAGUGAUAUAAGGGAUUUGAUUAUUCCUAAUUGUGAAAACUUUUUUUGCUUGUUUUGUAAUAAAUUGCAAUCAAAAUUCGUUCGUCACUUCCAUAAUAAUAAGCCACAAGUAAAAAAGUGUUAAUGCCUGUCGAAAAAUGAAAAAACUUGAAAAGUAGUUAUUAAUGAGAUUUGGAGUAAUGGCGAUUAAAUCGACAAUAUCGAUGCAUCGUUAAAUAGCGAAAUUUUAAAGCGAAUUAACUCUAAAAACGAAUAUGUUGUCAUAUGUUGCAAGGGAUGUUCUGGAUUUUUUCCCCAAAAGUACAAUACGCAGUCAUAUAAAUAAUUGCAUAGGCGGCGAUCAUAAGAAAGGAACUCCUGACUUGCUUAAGCAAGGUCGCUCUAAAACCGGCUCUAUGCAUAAAAGUGCAAGUGACGUUCUCUUGCAAGCUAUAUGCCUCCUGACGUAUUUAAACCGUUUUUGUUAAUUUUUUUAUUUAUUUACUAAGGCUAUUUUUAUAUACUUGAUAUUACUCAAAUUUUAUUUUGUUAACUGAUUCGUGUUCAUUCCAGCUAGUUUGUGUUCGUUUCAACUGUCUUGUGCUCGUCUUAUAUUUAUAUAUUUCUAACAAAGAUGCAUCCGAACAAUUUAUAAACACAACUCAAAAUGCAUCGGCUAAUAGUGGAUCUUUAGGACUUAACGACUUUGGCUCUAAUUGUUUAGAUUCAUCGGCAAAAAAUCAAAAUCAUUCCACGAUAAACGAUUCAUUUCAAUCGCUUAAUACUAAUUGUCCAGAUUCCACGCAAGGAUUCGAUUCCAGUUAUGCUCCGGAUAUAACUAACCGGUCCAGCAUUUUAAAUAAUUCCAACAUUAAACAAGUUUUUUCUUACACAACUGAAACUCUACUAAGUGAUGUAAGGGAUUUAAUUAUUCCAACUGCGAAAACCCAAACAAAUUGUAAGAAACAUUUUUGCUUAUUUUGCAAUAAAUUGCAAACAAAAUUGGUCCCGUCACUUGCAGAUUGUUCAUAAAAAUUAGCCGCAAGUACAACAAUUUUUGUUCCUGUCGAAAAAUGACAAAGCUCGUAGAUUACUUAUUGAUGAGAUAUGGAAAAAUGGUGAUUAUAAUCAUAAUAUCGAUGCAUCGUUAAAUAACGGAACUCUAAUCGUGCCUCGUCAAAAGCGUGUAAGCUCUAAGAACGAAGCGGUUGAUUUCAUAUGUUGCAAGGGAUGUUCCGGAUUUUUCCCCAAAAGCACACUACGGAGUCAUAUUAAUAAUUGCAAAGGGAGCGAUCAUAAGAAAGGAACUCGUGACUUGCUUAAACAAGGUCGCUCCAAAACCGGCUUCAUCCAUAAAAGUGCAAAUGACGUUGUGCGCACAAAAAUAAUGCCUGUUUUAAAUGAUGAUCCCAUUUCUAGAAAUCUUAUAUAUGAUGAAUUGAUUGUUUUAUUCGCAAACGCAGAAUCUAUGAAGCACGGCGAACUUCAGUACGAUAUGAUCAGAGCAAACAUGAGAUUGCUCAGCAGACUUUUACAUGAAAUAAAAAAAUCAGAAUCUAAUGAGAUACAGGAACUUAAAGACGCCAUUAAUCCCAAACAUUUGGAUUUGAUGAUAUCUUGUAUCAGAAAAGUGGCUCAGUGGGACUCUUCUUCGAUGUUUUUUAAAACACCUUCAGUUGCAACGAACCUUACAACUCUAAUUAAAAAGUGCGCAAAAAUAUUGUGGACUCAUUGCAUUAAAACACAAAAUCAUGCAAAAAAAAAUUAAUUAAAGAUUUUCUUGUUCUAUGGGAAACCGAAAUUCCUCUUUUUAUAAACAAAAAAGCUAUAGAGGACCAGUCAAAGAAAAAAAGAGCCCUACCAACUAUUUUACCAUGUAAAGAAGACAUCAAAAAACUGUUUGAUUAUGUGAUAAAAAAAUCGGAAAGCACUCUGAGUGUGCUAAAAAUUAAGUUUGAUUUUUUAAAGAAACUAGAGAAAUCGCUCAAAAAUACACAAGAUUGACUAUUCGUGGAAAACUCAAUCGAACUGUGCCAGUGCUGCUCACACCGUUUGACAAUUAUUGUAUAGAAACUAUUCUCAAACAUCGUAAAAGAGCUGGUGUUAAAAAAAAUAAUGAUAACAUAUUUAGCGUGCCUAACGCCAAGCCCUUAGCAAAGCAAUAUGUAAGGGCUUGUCCGAUUCUACAGAAAUUUGCCCAGGAAUGUGGGCCUCGCUGCCCAGGGGCUUUACGGGGAACGAUGCUUCGAAAGCAUUUAGCUACCUAUACAUCGAUGCUUAACGUCAAAGAUUUCCAAAUUGAUAGGCUUGCCAAUUUUAUGGGUCAUCAUAAAGAUAUACAUAAAGAAAUCUACAGAAUCCCUGUAACAGUAGCGGAGAUAGCCGAAGUAUCCCAGAUGCUUAUGGCAGCUCUUGGAAAUAAUGUUGAGGAUGAAAACACAGUAGCCCUUGAUCAGUUCGAAGAAAGUAAGUACAUAGAUUCAUCAAGUUUGUGGGUGAUACUAAGAGUAGUUAUGGUGAAAAAUGUAAUAUCUUAACUUAACUAAUAAUUACUUGUCCGGCUUAUUGUGAAUGUUUUUACAUUGUACCUGAAAUCCAUUUUGCAAAUGAUCCUUUAGAGGAUUCGGAAUCAGAUUAUUCUGAACAGCGAUCAGAAAGCGACUUCAAUAUUUCCGAUGAUGAAAUUGUAGAAAAAUCGAACAAAAAAGGAAAGCGCCCAAGUAGUAAGUAUUAAAUUGCAACCUACAUAUUUAUGUCACGUGCUUACAUGCAUCGCGUUUAGGCUAUACUAUUUAUCCUCAUUGACAAAGUAAAAAGAGAUAUCGUGCUUGUGAAAUGUCCGAUCGUCUGUUCAAACGAACGCGAUAUUUUGCUGGCCCUUUAAAGUUAUAUCGACGAGAAGUAAAGUGCUAAGAUUAUAUAAUGACGACCACUGCGUCGUGGUAAAUCGCAAAAAUCGUCCUAAAUAACAAACCUUAUAAAAUCAUAGAGAUUGACUAACUUUUAGUUGAAGACGAAGAUGUUUAACUGGGUGCGUGGCGAAUGUUUAAAAUUAGUAUCACCUAAUAAAUUGUUCUGGUAGGCUGUAUUAAAUUCAUAUUGUUAAUUUUACUUUAACCUAAGAUGAUUUGAAACUGCAUUCAAAAA